rnacentral:rRNA from 1 species
GACGAACGCUGGCGGCGUGCCUAAUACAUGCAAGUAGAACGCUGAAGAGAGGAGCUUGCUCUUCUUGGAUGAGUUGCGAACGGGUGAGUAACGCGUAGGUAACCUGCCUUGUAGCGGGGGAUAACUAUUGGAAACGAUAGCUAAUACCGCAUAACAAUAGGUGACACAUGUCAUUUAUUUGAAAGGGGCAAUUGCUCCACUACAAGAUGGACCUGCGUUGUAUUAGCUAGUAGGUGAGGUAACGGCUCACCUAGGCGACGGUACAUAGCCGACCUGAGAGGGUGAUCGGCCACACUGGGACUGAGACACGGCCCAGACUCCUACGGGAGGCAGCAGGAGGGAAUCUUCGGCAAUGGGGGCAACCCUGACCGAGCAACGCCGCGUGAGUGAAGAAGGUUUUCGGAUCGUAAAGCUCUGUUGUAAGUCAAGAACGAGUGUGAGAGUGGAAAGUUCACACUGUGACGGUAGCUUACCAGAAAGGGACGGCUAACUACGUG